GGAAUGAGCCAAUAUCAGUAAUAUCAGUCCCUAAUCAUUGGUAAGCAAAGAAUCAACCCUAAUUUCCUAUCAGCUUCUUGUGAGAUUUAACAUGAAAAUUGAGGAAAAAUUAAAAGGAUUAAUUUCUUAUUAAUUUGUAUUCUGGCAAUAAUAAAGGAUCACAAGGAUCACAAGGGCCGGAACCUUACACAUGCGCCGGAACCUUACACAUGCAUUUUAACAACAUGGGCACAAUCAUGCUAACUAAACCUCAAUGAAGUGUUAAUAUCAUACUAAUUUUUUUAGUAAUCGUAACAUUUUGUAGCUGAUGAAUAUACAUAAAGAUAGCCCACCUGCUACCAUUCAAGAAAAACAAUAGAAGGAUGCGGUCACCCACUUCCAGGCAUAUAUUCAUUUCAAAAGUAGAUCUAUAAUGGGUAAUUAUAUUAUUUGUAAUCUUUUUUUUCUUUCUUUUUUUGAGAAAUACUUAUAUGACUCAUAAUUUCAAAAUUAGAUGGAAUUGUUAUAAGUCGUUUUCUAUUUGAGAUUGUUAUUAGAGAAAAUGCCCAUUUAAUAUUAAUUUAAAUAUAUCAUUCCUCAUUCUAAUGAUAAUCUUUUUCAUAAGUCCAUUCCAAUAUAAGGUAACAUUUUUUAUGCCCAAAUGCACAAAUCUUUAUUAAUGUCAUAAUAAAAAAAUAAUUUAUGGAUAUUUUUAAGACAAGUUUACCCUCACCAUUUCAACAUGCACCUCACCGGACUCCGAUCACCAGCCGCCAUACUCCGGUUGCUGAUGGCCGGAUUCCGGUCACCAAUUGCCGGUCGUCGGAUUCCGGUUACCGGUUGCCAGAAAUUUCUUCGAUCACCGUUAUUGGCCCCCAGUAACUCAUAUUUUCUCCGGUCGUCGGAUUCCGAUCACCGAUAAUUCAGUUACUGACCCCUAGUAACUCGGAUUUUUUUCGGUCGCCGGAUUCCGGUCACUAGUAACUCAGUUACUGACUCCCAAUAACUUGUUACUGACCCCCAGUAAUCAGUUACUGACCCCUAGUAACUUGGAUUUUUUCUGGUCGCCGGAUUCCGGUCACCAGUAACUCAGUUACUGACCCUUAAUAAUCAGUUACUAACCCCUAAUAAUUAAUUACUGACUCCUAGUAACUCGGAUUUUUUCCGGUCGCCAGAUUUCGGUCAUCGGUAACUCAGUUAAUUACUGACUCCCAGUAACUCAGUUAUUGACUCCUAAUAAUUUGGUUACUGACCCCCAAUAAUCAGUUACUGACCUCCAAUAAUCAACCUAUUUCAACUUAAUAAUACCAAAAAAGAAGAAAUACUAGAAGAAAAAAACACGAGUUAUUGACCCCCAAUAACUUAGUUAUAGACCCCCCAUAAUCAAGCAUUUUCUUCCUCAAGAUAUACUGUUACUGUAGGUUUCUGGUAAAUGACUUUGGCGCAAAAGGCAACAAGAAUAGCAAAACCAGCAAAAACAACAAGACAACAAAAAGAACUAAAGCUUGGAUUUUAUAUCAUAUAUUAAGUACCAACAACAAAAAAGAAUUUUCUUUGAAGCAAAUCCAUAACUCAGCUAGAGGAGAAGAAUAUGGCCAUGCGCGGUGAUAGAGCUGAACCAGAUCCCGGAGAUCGAAGCAAGAGAAGAAUAUGGCCGACGCUGUGAUGGAGCAUCAGUCACACUGGGCCGGUGCGGUGAUGGAGCUGCAUUAGAUCCCGGAGAUUGGAGCAAGAGAAGAAUAUGGCCGGCGCGGUGAUGGAGCAUCAGUCACUCGUCCGGCGCAGUGAUGGAGCUGAACCAAAUCACGGAGAUUGGAGCAAGAGAAGAAUAUGGCCGGCGCUGUGAUGGAGCAUCAGUCACACUCGCCCGGCGCGGUGAUGGAGCUGAACCAGAUCCGGGAGAUCGGAGCAAGAGAGACGCCGGUUGUCGUGGUUCGGUGGUCAUCGUCCAGAUCUUCAUCAUCUGAAUCGAAUCAUCAACGUCGAGGCUUUAUUGGCGUCGGCGUCGGUGUCCUCGAUGUCGAGGCUUCGUCGGCGUCGGCGUCGCCGUUGAAGAUGUGUGUGUGUGAGAGAGAGAGAGAGAGAGAGAGAGAGAGAGAGAGAGAGAGAGAGAGAGAGAGAGAGAGAGAGAGUAG
rnacentral:lncRNA from 1 species